AGUGAACGCUGGCGGUAGGCCUAACACAUGCAAGUCGAACGGCAGCACAGUAAGAGCUUGCUCUUACGGGUGGCGAGUGGCGGACGGGUGAGGAAUACAUCGGAAUCUACUUUUUCGUGGGGGAUAACGUAGGGAGACUUACGCUACUACCUCAUACGACCUACGGGUGGAAUCAGGGGAUCUUCGGACCUUGCGCGAUUGAAUGAGCCGAUGUCGGAUUAGUUAGUUGGCGGGGUAAAGGCCCACCAAGGCGACGAUCCGUAGCUGGUCUGAGAGGAGGAUCGGCAACACUGGAACUGAGACACGGUCCAGACUCCUCCGGGAGGCAGCAGUGGGGAAUAUUGGACAAUGGGCGAAAGCCUGAUCCAGCCAUCCCGCGUGGGUGAAGAAGGCCUUCGGGUUGUAAAGCCCUUUUGUUGGGAAAGAAGAGCAGCAGGUUAAUACGCUGAUGUUCUGACGGUACCCAAAGAAUAAGCACCGGCUAACUUCGUG
rnacentral:rRNA from 1 species